GACGAACGCUGGCGGCGUGCCUAAUACAUGCAAGUAGAACGCACAGUUUAUACCGUAGCUUGCUACACCAUAGACUGUGAGUUGCGAACGGGUGAGUAACGCGUAGGUAACCUGCCUGGUAGCGGGGGAUAACUAUUGGAAACGAUAGCUAAUACCGCAUAAUAUUGAUUAUUGCAUGAUAAUUGAUUGAAAGAUGCUAUUGCAUCACUACCAGAUGGACCUACGUUGUAUUAGCUAGUAGGUGAGGUAACGGCUCACCUAGGCGACGAUACGUAGCCGACCUGAGAGGGUGAUCGGCCACACUGGGACUGAGACACGGCCCAGACUCCUACGGGAGGCAGCAGUAGGGAAUCUUCGGCAAUGGACGAAAGUCUGACCGAGCAACGCCGCGUGAGUGAAGAAGGUUUUCGGAUCGUAAAGCUCUGUUGUAAGAGAAGAACGGGUGUGAGAGUGGAAAGUUCACACUGUGACGGUAUCUUACCAGAAAGGGACGGCGAACUACGU
rnacentral:rRNA from 1 species